rnacentral:rRNA from 1 species
GACGAACGCUGGCGGCGUGCUUAACACAUGCAAGUCGAACGGAAAGGCCCUGCUUUUGUGGGGUGCUCGAGUGGCGAACGGGGGAGUAACACGUGAGUAACCUGCCCUUGUCUUUGGGAUAAAUUCAGGAAACUGGGGCUAAUACCGGAUAGGAGCUCCUGCAGCACGGUGGGGGUUGGAAAGUUUCGGCGGUUGGGGAUGGACUAGCGGCUUAUCCGCUUGUUGGUGGGGUAGUGGCUUACCAAGGCUUUGACGGGUAGCCGGCCUGGGAGGGUGACCGGCCACAUUGGGACUGAGAUACGGACCAGACUCCUACGGGCGGCAGCAGUGGGGAAUAUUGCACAAUGGGCGGAAGCCUGAUGCAGCAACGCCGCGUGCGGGAUGACGGCCUUCGAGUUGUAAACCGCUUUCGAAUGUGACGAAGCGUGCGUGACGGUAAUGGGUAAAGAAGCACCGGCUAACUACGUG